AGUGAACGCUGGCGGUAGGCCUAACACAUGCAAGUCGAACGGCAGCACAGUAAGAGCUUGCUCUUACGGGUGGCGAGUGGCGGACGGGUGAGGAAUACAUCGGAAUCUACUUUUUCGUGGGGGAUAACGUAGGGAAACUUACGCUAAUACCGCAUACGGCCUACGGGUGAAAGCAGGGGAUCUUCGGACCUUGCGCGAUUGAAUGAGCCGAUGUCGGAUUAGCUAGUUGGCGGGGUAAAGGCCCACCAAGGCGACGAUCCGUAGCUGGUCUGAGAGGAUGAUCAGCCACACUGGAACUGAGACACGGUCCAGACUCCUACGGGAGGCAGCAGUGGGGAAUAUUGGACAAUGGGCGCAAGCCUGAUCCAGCCAUACCGCGUGGGUGAAGAAGGCCUUCGGGCUGUAAAGCCCUUUUGUUGGGAAAGAAAAGCAGCAGGUUAAUACCCCGCUGUUCUGACGGUACCCAAAGAAUAAGCACCGGCUAACUUCGUG
rnacentral:rRNA from 1 species